CACACUAUCAUUAACUGAAUCCAUAGGUUAAUGAGGCGAACCGGGGGAACUGAAACAUCUAAGUACCCCGAGGAAAAGAAAUCAACCGAGAUUCCCCCAGUAGCGGCGAGCGAACGGGGAGGAGCCCAGAGCCUGAAUCAGUGUGUGUGUUAGUGGAAGCGUCUGGAAAGGCGCGCGAUACAGGGUGACAGCCCCGUACACAAAAAUGCACAUGCUGUGAGCUCGAUGAGUAGGGCGGGACACGUGGUAUCCUGUCUGAAUAUGGGGGGACCAUCCUCCAAGGCUAAAUACUCCUGACUGACCGAUAGUGAACCAGUACCGUGAGGGAAAGGCGAAAAGAACCCCGGCGAGGGGAGUGAAAAAGAACCUGAAACCGUGUACGUACAAGCAGUGGGAGCACAGAGCAAUCUGUGUGACUGCGUACCUUUUGUAUAAUGGGUCAGCGACUUAUAUUCUGUAGCAAGGUUAACCGAAUAGGGGAGCCGAAGGGAAACCGAGUCUUAACCGGGCGUUAAGUUGCAGGGUAUAGACCCGAAACCCGGUGAUCUAGCCAUGGGCAGGUUGAAGGUUGGGUAACACUAACUGGAGGACCGAACCGACUAAUGUUGAAAAAUUAGCGGAUGACUUGUGGCUGGGGGUGAAAGGCCAAUCAAACCGGGAGAUAGCUGGUUCUCCCCGAAAGCUAUUUAGGUAGCGCCUCGUGAAUUCAUCUCCGGGGGUAGAGCACUGUUUCGGCAAGGGGGUCAUCCCGACUUACCAACCCGAUGCAAACUGCGAAUACCGGAGAAUGUUAUCACGGGAGACACACGGCGGGUGCUAACGUCCGUCGUGAAGAGGGAAACAACCCAGACCGCCAGCUAAGGUCCCAAAGUCAUGGUUAAGUGGGAAACGAUGUGGGAAGGCCCAGACAGCCAGGAUGUUGGCUUAGAAGCAGCCAUCAUUUAAAGAAAGCGUAAUAGCUCACUGGUCGAGUCGGCCUGCGCGGAAGAUGUAACGGGGCUAAACCAUGCACCGAAGCUGCGGCAGCGACACUGUGUGUUGUUGGGUAGGGGAGCGU
rnacentral:rRNA from 1 species